rnacentral:rRNA from 1 species
CCUACGGGAGGCAGCAGUAGGGAAUCUUCCACAAUGGGCGAAAGCCUGAUGGAGCAACGCCGCGUGGGUGAAGAAGGUCUUCGGAUCGUAAAACCCUGUUGUUAGAGAAGAAAGUGCGUGAGAGUAACUGUUCACGUUUCGACGGUAUCUAACCAGAAAGUCACGGCUAACUACGUGCCAGCAGCCGCGGUAAUACGUAGGUGGCAAGCGUUAUCCGGAUUUAUUGGGUUUAAAGGGUGCGCAGGCGGACUGUUCAGUCAGCGGGAAAAGCCCGGGGCUCAACCCCGGCGAGCCGUUGAAACUGGCGGGCUGGAGUUUGAGAGAAGUACGCGGAAUGCGCGGUGUAGCGGUGAAAUGCUUAGAUAUCGCGCAGAACCCCGAUGGCGAAGGCAGCGUACCGGCUCCACACUGACGCUGAGGCACGAAAGCGUGGGUAUCGAACAGGAUUAGAUACCCGGGUAGUC